rnacentral:rRNA from 1 species
CGCUGCCGGUUCACCGCCCGUCGGUGUCUAACUGGUAUGCACGUGUGGACGUCCUGCCGGUGGCCCGAGCCGGCGCGGGGCUUGUCCCUGGCGUCCGGGGAAGGCCUAUCAUACCCGUCUCGGGGCUCUUAACCGAGUGUCUCGAUGGGCCGGCACGUUUACUUUGAACAAAUUAGAGUGCUUAAAGCAGGCAGCAUCCGCCUGAAUACCGAGUGCAUGGAAUAAUGGAAUAGGACCUCGGUUCUGUUUUGUUGGUUUUCGGAAUCCCCGAGGUAAUGAUCAAUAGGGACAGACGGGGGCAUUCGUAUUGCGACCUUGAAGGUGAAAUUCUUGGAUCGUCGCAGGACGGACCGAAGCGAAUGCAUUUGCCAAGAAUGUUUUCUCUGAUCAAGAACGAAAGUUAGAGGUUCGAAGGCGAUCAGAUACCGCCCUAGUUCUAACCAUAAACAAUGCCAGCCAGCAAUCCGCCAAAUUUCCUCCGAUGACUCGGCGGGCGGCUUCCGGGAAACCAAACCUUUUGGGUUCCGGGGGAAGUAUGGUUGCAAAGCUGAAACUUAGAGGAAUUGACCGAUGGGCACCAACAGGAGUGGAGCCUGCGGCUUAAUUUGACUCAACACGGGAAACCUCACCAGGCCCGGACACCGGGAGGAUUGACAGAUUGAGAGCUCUUUCUUGAUUCGGUGGGUGGUGGUGCAUGGCCGUUCUUAGUUGGUGGAGCGAUUUGUCUGGUUAAUUCCGAUAACGAACGAGACUCUAGCCUGCUAACUAGUCGCUUCCGGUAUCCUUGUGCUACCGGCGACUCCUGAUCUUCUUAGAGGGACAGGCGGCUCCUAGCCGCACGAGAUUGAGCAAUAACAGGUCUGUGAUGCCCUUAGAUGUUCUGGGCCGCACGCGCGCUACACUGAAGGAAUCAGCGUGUCCUCCCUGGCCGAAAGGCCCGGGUAACCCGCUGAACCUCCUUCGUGCUAGGGAUUGGGGCUUGCAAUUGUUCCCCAUGAACGAGGAAUUCCCAGUAAGCGCGAGUCAUAAGCUCGCGUUGAUUACGUCCCUGCCCUUUGUACACACCGCCCGUCGCUACUACCGAUUGAAUGAUUUAGUGAGGUCUUCGGACCGGUGGGCGAGGGGGUUCUCCUCCUCGAUUCCACCGGGAAGAUGCCCAAACUUGAUCAUUUAGAGGAAGUAAAAGUCGUAACAAGGU